AGUGAACGCUGGCGGUAGGCCUAACACAUGCAAGUCGAACGGCAGCACAGUAAGAGCUUGCUCUUACGGGUGGCGAGUGGCGGACGGGUGAGGAAUACAUCGGAAUCUACUUUUUCGUUGGGGAUAACGUAGGGAAACUUACGCUAAUACCGCAUACGACCUACGGGUGAAAGCAGGGGAUCUUCGUACCUUGCGCGAUUGAAUGAGCCGAUGUCGGAUUAGCUAGUUGGCGGGGUAAAGACCCCCAAGGCGACGAUCCGUAGCUGGUCUGAGAGGAUGAUCAGCCACACUGGAACUGAGACACGGUCCAGACUCCUACGGGAGGCAGCAGUGGGGAAUAUUGGGCAAUGGGCGCAAGCCUGAUCCAGCCAUACCGCGUGGGUGAAGAAGGCCUUCGGGUUGUAAAGCCCUUUUGUUGGGAAAGAAAAGCAGCAGGUUAAUACCCCGCUGUUCUGACGGUACCCAAAGAAUAAGCACCGGCUAACUUCGUG
rnacentral:rRNA from 1 species